rnacentral:lncRNA from 1 species
GAAAAUUCAACCUUCAAGUGUGAAGGCGGCUGUGGACGGUGGUGUGAAGGCGGCUGGCGGCAAACAGCUGGUGGCUGGCGGCUGGCGGCUGGCCGGUUGGUGGCUGGGCGGUGACAGCUGGUGGCUGCCUUCCUUGACCAUCUAGAUUGAGUUUAAUAUUCAACAAAUCUCCCCUUUAAACUCAAUCGAGGGAUGUCAUGCCAAGCAUGAACUUUAAUCGGAUAAAUACUUCUCCUUUUAAUGGCUUUGUGAAGAUGUCAGCAACUUGAUCAUUUGUGUUGCAAGAUAUCAGUUGGACUUCUUCAUUCUUCACAUGUUCCCGGAUAAAGUGAUGACGUGUAUCAAUGUGUUUGCUCCUCUCAUGAUACACUGGGUUCUUUGCCAAUGCGAUUGCUGAUCGAUUGUCAAUAUAAAUCUCCGUAGGAUUUUCUUGAGGAAAUCCCAAAAACUUCAGCAUAUUCCUUAACCAUAUUGAGUGGCAUACGGCUGAGUUGGCAGCAACAUACUCAGCUUCACAGCUUGAUAAUGUUACAAUCGAUUGCUUCUUGGAUGACCAUGUGAAAGAUGUGUCUCCCAUGAAAAAGACAAACCCUGUUGUGCUUUUCCUUUCAUCCAAAUCUCUACCCCAAUCACUAUCCGAGUAGCCUACAAGAUUAAAGUCUUUACUUGAGGUAUAAAACAUACCUUCAUUCAUUGUGCCUUUGAUGUAGCGAAGAAUUCUCUUAGCUGCAUUCAAGUGAGACUGGUCUGGCGUCUCCAUGUAUCUGCUGACGAGUCCGACUCCGUAGAGUAUAUCCGGUCUGGUACAUGUCAAGUACCUUAAGCUUCCUACUAAGCUUUUGAAGUAAGUUGGAUCAACAUUUCCAACCUUACUUUUCCUCAAUUCCACUCCAUUCUCAACUGGAGUUGAUACCGGAUUGCAGCUUUCCAUCUUGAACCUUUCAAGAAUAUCUUUGGCGUAACCGCUUUGGGAUACAAAAAUCCCUUCUUCUUUCUGCGUUACUUCCAAGCCAAGAAAAUGUGACAUUAGACCAAUGUCAGUCAUCUCAAACUCAUGUACCAUAUUUUGUUUGAAGUCGUCAAACAUGGUAGGGUUGUUGCCGGUGAAUAUCAAAUCAUCAACAUACAGGCACGCAAAUAAGAUGCUGCCAUUUGCUCCUUUCUUCACAUAUAUGGCGUGUUCAUAUGGACAUUUCUCAAAUCCAUUAUCUUGAAAAUACCUGUCAAUUCUGGUAUUCCAAGCACGCGGAGCUUGCUUCAAACCAUAGAGAGCCUUCUUCAACUUGUAUACUUUGCCUUCAUUUUCAGCAUCAAUGUAUCCAAGUGGUUGUUCAACAUAGAUCUCUUCUUCUAGGAAGCCAUUCAGAAAUGCUGACUUCACAUCGAGUUGAUAGAUCUUCCAUCUAUGUUGUGCAGCUAGUGAGAUCAUCAGUCUGAUUGUCUCUAGCCGGGCUACUGGAGCAAAUACUUCUCCAUAGUCAAUGCCUUCUCUCUGUUUGUAGCCUUUAGCCACUAAUCUGGCUUUGUAUCUUUGCACUUCUCCUUUGGCGUUCUUCUUCGUCUUGUAGACCCAUUUGACACCUAUUGCUUUCUUGUUUUCUGGUAGAUAAGUCAGCUUCCAGGUAUCAUUCUUCUCAAUGGCAUGUAUUUCUUCAUCCAUUGCUUCUAUCCACUUCUCUUCUGUGAUAGCUUCAUCGAAGCUUAGUGGGUCACUAUCUGCAAAGAAACUAAACAGAGUUGUAUCUUCCAUGACCUGAGUGGUAUCGUACAACUCUUCAAGAUUCCUCAUCCUUCUUGGUCCUUCUGACGAUGAGGAUGUUGCUGCUGGUGGUGUUGAUGAUGAUGCUCCUGGUGUGUUCCUCCUGUUGAAUACAGGGAAUCUGUGUACCGGACUUUGUGGUUCAGCUGCUGGCACAAUCUGUUCUUCUGCAAGUACUGUUGGUACUUCUUCACCUUCAAGGAUCAAAUCAGUGGUGAUCCAUUUGACUGCUUCUUUAUUAUCAGUCCAUUCCCAAGAUUUAUCUUCUUCAAAGAUAACAUCUCUACUCAUAAUCACUUUCUUCGUGAUGGGAUUAUACAGCUUGUAUCCCAUCCUUCUUUCACCAUAUCCCACAAAGAUGCAUCUCUCGCUUUUAUCAUCGAGUUUUCUCCUUCUUGCAUCUGGGAUCUUUGCAUAUGCCACACAACCAAAGACUCGUAGAUGAGUAACACUUGGUUUGUGACCACUCCAUGCUUCUUCUGGAGUGACUCCUUGCAAACUUCUGGUUGGGCAGCGAUUCAGUAGAUACACUGCACAUGAUACAGCUUCAGCCCAGUAUUGCUUAGGCAACUUCUUUGCUUUGAGCAGACUUCUUGCCAUGUCAAGAAUCGUGCGAUUCUUCCUUUCAGCUACACCAUUCAGCUGUGGUGUAUAAGCUGGUGUUGUCUGAUGUCUGAUGCCUUGUUGUGUACAAUAGGCUUCAAAGUCAUUUGCUGUAUAUUCUCCACCUUGAUCAGAUCUCACUGUUCUGAUCAUGUAGCCACUUUGCUUCUCCACAAUUGCUUUAAAAUCUUUAAAACAAUUGAAUACUUCUGACUUCCUCUUCAGAAAGUAUAUCCACGUCUUUCUACUAAAAUCAUCAAUAAAAGUGAGGAAGUACCUAUUCUGUCCAGUUGACAUAGGCGUAAUUGGGCCACACACAUCUGUGUGUACUAACUCCAGUGGCCUCUUUGCUUUCCAGUUGACUUCUUUGGCAAAACUGGAUCUGUGAUGUUUGCUGAGGACACAACUCUCACAGACUUCAUCUGGAUGAUCAAUGUGAGGCAUACCUUUGACCAUCUUCUUGCUUGCUAGCAUCUUCAAGCUCGUGAAAUUCAGAUGUCCAAGCCUCAGGUGCCAGAGCCAUUCUUCACUGUUGGUGAUGGCACUCAAACACCUUGCUGCAUCAUACUGGAUGUUCAAAGGAAACAUCCUAUUCUUGGACAUUUUCACAUAGGCCAUUAAUCUCCAAUUGUUGUCUCUAAUUGUCAGAUGACAAUUCUUCGAGUAAAAAGUAUAUCCUCUCUCCAAAAGUUGACCUAAGCUGAUCAGGUUCUGCUUUAUGGCUGGGACAUAAUAAACAUUGGCGAUGUAGCUGGAAUCGCCGUUCUUCAACUUGAUUGGGAUGCUGCCUUUACCUUUGAAUGGAACCUUUGAGGUAUCUCCAAAAGUAACUAGACCUUGCUUGGUCUCAUCUAGAUCACUAAAUAACUCUCGGUAGCCACACAUGUGAUUGCUGGCUCCAGUAUCUAGAUACCAUAUAUUUUCCUGUUUCUCGCCAAGUUCUUGUUGGACAAGAAAUGCAGCUUCUAUGUCAUCCUUCUCUGCAUAGUUGGCUUGCUCACGUAUCUCCAACGGAGCUUUCCUUCUGCAUUCAGUGCUAUAGUGCCCAAAUUGAUUGCAACUAUAACAUUGGAUAUUUCUCUUGUCACGGUUAUUGUAACCGCCUCCUCUUCCUCUAGGAGUGAAUGCUUGUUGUCCUCUACCUCCUCUGGUGGUGUUUCUACCACCUCUUCCUCUAAAGCUUGUAUUCCAAGAACCUCUUCCUUGGAAUCUCUGGAAUCCUCCUCUGGAUUGUUGACUUCCUGCUUGAGUGGUAUAUCCACUUGUUGAAGUCUCCCCUUGCUCAUAUCUGUCCUUGAGAGACAGCUUUGCUUGUAAGGCAUGCUCGAUGGCCUUAUCUCCAUUUCGCUUUACAAUCUUCUGCUCAUGAGCUUGCAAAGAACUCAUAAGCUCAUCAACUGUCAACUUGUCCACUUCCUUGGACUCUUCAAUGGCGACAACAACAAAAUCAAAUUUUGGAUCUAGGGAUCUCAAAAUUUUCUCAGUAAUUCGAGAAUCGACGAUGGCUUCUCCAUUUCUCCUCAUCUGAUUGACUAUCACCAUAAUCCUUGUGUGAUAAUCAGAAAUAGAUUCUGAGGACUUCAUUUGCAAUAACUCAAAUUCACCUCGCAAAGAUUGAAGACGAAUCUUCUUGAUUCUGUCAGCACCUUUGUAUUUUUGUUGGAGAGCCUCCCAUAUAUCAUGUGAUGUUUCAGCGGAAGCUAUGAUCUCGAAUGUAUCUUCAUCAAGACCUUGGUAGAUGAUGGUCUUUGCUUUGUUGUCCUUCUUUCUGUUGACUUUCAGGGCUUGCUUCUGUGCCUCUUGUAAAGCAUCUUCUUCUUCUUUAGACUCUGGUUCAUCAUAACCAUAGUGUACAAUCUCCAAACACUCUUGUGAACCAAGGAAUGCCUUCAAUCUGAUGCACCAACUAUCAUAGUUGUCUUUGGUCAGCUUCGGGAUGAGUGUUUGUGUACUUUCUGUAGUCAUUUUGCUCUUUUAAUGACUAUAUCUCCUUCUGGGAGUUGAAUUUGGCAAAACCGACACUGUAGAUCGAUCCGGAAUGGUCGAAAUAGUCGGGAACCGGUUUGACUUUGUAGAAAUCAGGUCAUAAAAUGGGUGAACCGGUCACAAAACCAAUUCUGGGCGUCGGGCGGUUCGCUGGGUUGAACCGGGAAUAUUCUGUGGAAUAUUCUAUCGGCUCGGCUUAGCGGCUAGGCUUGAAAAGGGAAUAUUCUCUGGAAUAUUCUUCGACGCGGCUGGAGGCUUGGCUUGCGGCUUGGCUCGGCUCGGCUCAACGGCUCGAAUAUGGCGCGCGUGGACGUCACUCGUCUUCUUCCUCUGGCGCGCGUGGGUGAGACUGGGCUACAGUCACCGGAUCUUCAGGCGGCGCGUGUGGCUCACCCCGGUGUCCGAUUGAGCUGAUUUUUGCGGCAGUGAGUUCGUAUGGAUGAGCUCUACACGUUGGAAUGAUCAAAACUUGUUUUUGACAACUUUGAAAAUUCGGCUAUCUCCCAAAAACACUUCUGUUUCUGACGAACGGGGCUCUGAUACCAAUUGUUGGUGGGAGAAACCACUGGUGGUGGCUUUGAAACACUCGGAGGGGAUAAAACACACUGUUUUAUUUCAAGAACAAAAGCUUACAAACAAUUAACACAAAAGCUUAACACAAUACACGCCCUCUCUCUUUCUCUCUAGUGUUUCUCUCUACUCUCUCCACACAGAAUAACAUAAGCUUAGCUUGCUAUUUAUACACGAAUUCAAAACAAGAAAAUUCAACCUUCAAGUGUGAAGGCGGCUGUGGACGGUGGUGUGAAGGCGGCUGGCGGCAAACAGCUGGUGGCUGGCGGCUGGCGGCAAACAGCUGGUGGCUGGCGGCUGGCGGCUGGCCGGUUGGUGGCUGGGCGGUGACAGCUGGUGGCUGCCUUCCUUGACC